UGCAGCAUGGUGUAGUGGUUUGAGCAUUAGACUGGGACUCUGGAGACCAGGGUUCAAAUCCUGGCUGUGCCGUGG
rnacentral:tRNA from 1 species